AAUAUAUCAUUUUUAUGUAUGCAGUUGUGGUGUGAAUGUUUAAGUUGUGGAAGUGAACUGGAAUAGUUUUCUGCAUGAAUUUGUUUUGACAUUUGGAAAUCCAAAAUAAUCGAACAUCUCAUUUGGCGAGAAAAUCUCUUUAUGAAUGAUUGAGACUGCAAGAGGCUCACACGCUAUUAUACAAAAUGUAUGGUAAAGAUUCAAAUCAUGUUUGGCUGGAAAAAAAAAAUGCUCUGACUACCUUAAGUUUAACAUAGAAAGUAGAAUACCAUGAAGAUAAGCUUUAAGUAGGACAUCAGGGAUUGGGCACCUUUAGGGAAAAAUGUCUGUUCGAAACCUUUCCAAAGCUCGCCUAUUAUUAUCUCUCAGUUUUUGUUUUUAUUUAUAGCUUAAAUAGCUUUACCUUUAUGUUGGGUAAUUUAUUUUUGGAUUUUAUACAUUUUGUAUGGUGGAUUUUUUCU
rnacentral:misc_RNA from 1 species